UUGCUAUUAAAGAAACUAGUUUUAGCGUGAUUUGAAUUUUCAGUUCAAUAAAUAUAAAUAUAUAUAUAAAUAUAUAUCAUGGUGUAAUGUUAUUUAUGUUUCUUUCAAUAAAAUUCUGUCAAAAUGGGCAUAUUUCAGACAUAGUGGCAUAAUGAAUUAAUUUAAAAAACAUCUCAUGAUUAUUGAUUAUGUGACAAAAGUUUCUGCCUAUUUCGGCCUAACUCCUACAUCAGCGAGGCCUCAUGUCCGCCUUUCUGUGAUGCCAAAAUGUACCUCUGCGUUUUUAUUGUCAGUGGGGCAUUGUCGCUCUCUGCCACAUUGGAGCUUCUCCAUGUCUUCUACUCUACACCAUGUUAUCUUGAGGGGGGGAGGGGAGGGGGGGCAACAAAGCCACCACCGGUUACAUAAUUGAUGUCAGCCGUAUUCAAAUACAAUUUAUCACAUUGUCAAUCAUGCGGCGUGCCGUGCACCGAUAACGUUAUAAAUUAAUAAAGUCCCGCUGUCGUGGGAGUGCGUGAAUGAGCGUGUUUAGUCAUUCUGUUUGACAACACAAGGAAGAGGGCCGCUAUUCCGCUGGGUGGGAGUCAAAUUUCACACUUUCACAGAUAUUGUUCUCUUUCCUACCGAUGUUUAAAAGAUGGAAGUCUUGCUCUGGAAGGGAAACUGUACUGACAGAGGAAGGAACUUUUGUUUGGGCACAAGCCAGGAGAACAUUCUCUCAAGGAGGGAAAACACAGAAUGUGAGGGAACACAGAUGGAAUAAUUCUUGUCAUUAUUUCAUUGAGUGUAUCGGAAAAACUACUUGUGCUAAAAUAAUGUCCAUUUAAUAAAUUAAAUACAUUUCCUAGCUUUACAGAUGCCAUCUCUCAGUCCGGACUGCAUAUACUGUACCAACCUCCCAGCCAACAGGGGGUAGCAUAUUACCCCUGUUCUAUACCUAAAGUGAGCUGUGGCUGAAAACUACAUUUGGAUAUUUUUAUUUUGUUUAUAUACAAUGUCUGUCUAAUUAUUUACAAUUUAAUCACAGUAUUUAAAUUGAUUAAUAAUGAAUACCCACUAUUUGCAAUGACUGUAUGUCUGAAAUAUGCCCUUUUUACUGUAUUUAAUGAACAGAUAUACAUUACAAGACAGGGUGACAUAUAUUUAUAUAUUACAGCUCCAAAUUAACUUAAAAUUUUAAUCAGGCUAAAAGAUACCACACAAAACAAGCAUAAGACCUGUCUCUUUAAGAGGAGCAAAACAUUUGAAUCACACUUUAAACCGUGUUAUUACGGGCACUAGGGGUUGCAUUCAAAGACAUCACGUAAUUUAAGCUACAUUUACUUGUUAUUAGUGUAUUAACCAGCAUGCUGUACUUAAAUUUAACAAAUUGUACACCCGAAUUAAGAGUUGCGAAUAGUUAAGAGUUGAGAAUAUCUACUUCAUCUUUUUUCUUUAUCUUCGUACUUAUUUAAAUACACAGACGCCCCUUUUUGUGAAGUUUGGAGUGUCCCUGAAUGAAUCUCGCGCUCUUGCAAUGAGAAUGCGGAAGUGUCGUUCCCAGCAUGAAGGGUCGAGGGACCGUGCGUGAGUUGGAAAUACAUUCAGUACACGGUGUUAGAAAUGUACUGCAGUUGAUAUGUUCGGGUCAAAAUCAAGUUAUAAAAGAGUGUCAGACUGUGUGGGGACGCGCUUCAAAGCACAGUGGAGAACCACCAUAACAGAGGCGUGCUUGCUCUGGUGCGCAUGCGUUUAAAUUUUUGGUACAGGAGGAUCACAGGACCACCAAACAAUAGCGAAAAAACAAAACCUGAUGCGGCCCAGCCUCGCCCAGACCCUAGCUCCAGUGGCCCCCAGCUAAUGAAAUCAACGCCCUUCUGUCCCAGUCCCCCCCCACCACCCCCCCCACAGAAGGGCCUCCUGAUCGAUUGCCGCUCGUUAUCGACACGACACCUGCCGAGAGGCCUGAAAAUAUCCCAGCAAGACACCUUUGAAUGGAGGGAAUGAAAAAGGUUGGCCUUUGAUGGGGAAGACAUCUCCAGGGUCGUGUAUAUGCUGGAGCCUAACCCGGCUGACUUCGGGCGAGAGGCGGGGUACACACUGGACUGGCCGCCACACAGAUGCCGAUGAUCAAGAUCUCCUGACUGUGUGUUUUUGUGUACAGGCAUCAUACAACACCCCCUGGGGGGAGGAUGAAUGCAUGUAGAUCCAGGCCCCCGCCCUUUGAGUCACCACUACUCUGCUUCAAAAGAAUGAGUUUGACCUUUAACCCUUGGAGAAGACAGCUAAAUCAGUUGAAGAAAAGAGGGGAAAAAAAGCCAUACAAGCAAACUCUCACCUGGAUUAAGCAAAAAAAAAAAAAAAAAAAAUGAUCUCAUCUGACGCAACCCACCUGAGAUGUUUGCUCCCCUCUUGACGUCCUCCCGAGCUCCACGGCUGAUCCGAUCGGGAUGACGACGAUGAUGAUCACAACGCUCCGAGGAAGUUAGCGGCCUUCUCUCUCCAGAGGCCAGCUCUCUAAAAUAAAAAAAGGCAAGGUGCCUGCCCUGGAGCGAGAUAAUGUGAAGACAAGCAGAUGGGGGAACUUAAAGGCAAAGCCACUUGGGCAAAGCCGAGCUGGCACAAAGUAAGAGAAGGUCUUAGAACAUCUCCCAGCACACAUUCACUGCAUGCCAGCUAGCUGCAUGACAAAGAAUUUAACACUAUGUGUGUAUAUGUGUGUGUAUGUGUGUGUACCUGUGUACCCGUUUUGCAUAUUUUACCAAACAGUGUGUCCUCACUUCUUUAUACAGAAACGACAUUCAUCUGUUUCACAAAAAAAAAAAAAAAAAAAUCCAUUCCGCCCGGUUAGAUCCGAGCGGAACAAACUUUGAUGAUGAUUGACGACAGAAGGCCUGUCAUCAAUCAUCACAUCCGUGAAGACGAUUGACGCCGCAUUCAUGUUUUCAUAUUCACUAAUCAAUCAGGAUUAGCAGUGCUAGUUGUGACUGAAUAACGAGCAGGGAAAUGCUGACGAGGUAGAUAGCUUGGCGAUUUAAUUGACGAAUUAAACACCGCACCUCUAAUAAAUACCCCUUUCAUGUAUUCUAUUUCAUACACAUUAUGAU